AACUGUGGGACCCAUGCCUUUGAGAGUGUUCUCAGCACCCACUGAGGUUCGCCGGUGUGGGGGUGAUGAAUCUGGGAGGAGAAAAAGGUCAAACCUGCCCUUUGCAAAGUGCCUGCUGCCCAGGUUCUGCCCAGAAGCCAGCUGCAGGAAAGUAAUUUGGGCAAGAAUGACUUUUCUUCAUCCUGUAGAUGAGGACGAUGAAGCUCUGAGGGGCACAGAGGUACUAAGUGGGGCCCAAGUCUGAACCAGGAUCUUUGUACUCUUCACCUUAGACUCUGUCCACAGCCCUCAGCUGCCCUCUCACAGGCCAGGCAAUUUAGAGUCUCAGAAAUAAGAGCAUCCCAAUGCCAGGAAGAAUGUUACAGAUCACCUGUCAGUGACGCAAGCCCCUCAUGUGACCAACAAGGAAACUGUUGCCCAGAGAGGGGAAUGGACAAGCCCAAGGUCACUCAGCCAGCUAUGGCCAAGCUGGACUUUGGAUCCCAGAUCUCUGGAUUCCCCAUCUGCAUCUCUCUCACUGGAUCAAACUGCCUUUAGACCCGUGCACUGGGGUGGGACUGUCCUAUU
ensembl:lncRNA novel transcript